rnacentral:rRNA from 1 species
UACGUAGGGGGCAAGCGUUGUCCGGAAUCAUUGGGCGUAAAGAGCGUGUAGGCGGCUCGGUAAGUCCGCUGUGAAGGUCCAGGGCUCAACCCUGGAAUGCCGGUGGAAACUGUCGAGCUAGAGUCCGGAAGAGGCGAGUGGAAUUCCUGGUGUAGCGGUGAAAUGCGCAGAUAUCAGGAGGAACACCAAUGGCGAAGGCAGCUCGCUGGGACGGUACUGACGCUGAGACGCGAAAGCGUGGGGAGCAAACAGG